rnacentral:lncRNA from 1 species
AUGUCUUCUCCUCACUCUGACUCUUUCGCUAGCGUCAACGAAUGUAUCCCAUCAGAACUAUUCUCGUUGUACUAUGCCACUAUCGACCACGCCAUCGCGUUGAUAAAAAUCGCAGGCCAGGGAGCUUGGCUCGCUAAAGCCAACAUUACAGAUGCUUUUAAAAUAAUGCCCAUUCAUCGGUCUGAUUGGCCGUUGUUCGGCGUGAAAUGGCAGUCCAAAUUCUAUUUCGCAGUUAGACUAACAUUCGGGUGUAGGAGCAGCCCCCACCUCUUCAAUUUGCUAUCUGAGGCCCUAUGCUGGAUUAUGCUAAACAUAUGUAGGUUGCCAUUCGUUCUACAUCUGCUGGACGAUUUUUUGCUUAUUGACUUUCCAUCUAACCAAACCAGCGUCCUGGAUACUCUUAAGAGAGUGUUCAGCGAGAUCGGAGUUCCCUUAUCUGAAGAGAAAACGGAGGGGCCAGUUACCGCAAUCGAAUUUCUAGGGAUUCGCUUAGAUUCGGAUAGGAUGCAAGCAUCCCUCCCGGACGAGAAACUACAGAGGAUCAGAUCGUUUCUCAAUGCGUUUAUAACGUCUGCUGGAAUCACUAAACGUGAAAUGCUCUCACUCCUAGGCCACCUCAAUUUCGCUAUGCGUAUUAUACCACAAGGGCGCUCGUUCAUCUCUCGCCUCCUAGAUCUGGCACAUUCGGUCCCAAAACUGAACGACGUGAUACACCUCAACGAAGGCUGCAGGUCCGAUCUCAAAUUCUGGUCGUUCCUCAUCGCUAAUUGGAACGGAAUUUCCUUCUUCUAUAACGACACGCCUGAAUCAUCUGAUUCUCUCGAACUAUUCACUGAUGCGGCCCCCUCGGUCGGGUUUGGGGGGUUUUUCCAAGGCCAAUGGUUCGCUGGGAGAUGGCCGGUCGAAUUCCGCACAUUCGCCCUCGGGUCAGAGUCGUCUGCGUUGUUCGAGCUCUACCCUAUUGUGGCAGCUAGCGUUCUGUGGGGCCAAGCAUGGCGGCGUAAACGUAUUACCAUGUUUUGCGAUAACGAAGCAGUGGUGGCUAUCAUCAAUAAAAAGCGAUCUGCAUGCCCCACUAUCAUGUCCAUGCUUAGACGUCUCACAUGGCAGUCCGUCACCCUCAAUUUCAUCAUUAAUGCUGAGCAUAUACCUGGUCACCAUAAUAGUCUUGCUGAUUCCCUCUCUCGUUUCCGUUUCCAGGAAUUCAGACGUCUAUGCCCCGCAGCGAAUACGGACCCAAUAAUCAGCCCACCCUUCCACGAACUCCGGCUGGAUUAG